rnacentral:rRNA from 1 species
GAUGAACGCUGGCGGCGUGCUUAACACAUGCAAGUCGAACGAAGCACUUUGAAAGCUUGCUUUUAGAGUGACUGAGUGGCGGACGGGUGAGUAACUCGUGGGUAACAUGCCUUAUACAGGGGGAUAACAGUUGGAAACGACUGCCAAUACCGCAUAAGCGCACAGUGCCGCAUGGCACAGCGUGAAAAACUCCGGUGGUAUAAGAUGGACCCGCGUCUGAUUAUCGAGUUGGUGAGGUAACGGCUCACCAAGGCGACGAUCAGUAACCGGCUUGAGAGAGUGAUCGGCCACAUUGGGACUGAGACACGGCCCAAACUACUACGGGAGGCAGCAGUGGGGAAUAUUGCACAAUGGGGGAAACCCUGAUGCAGCAACGCCGCGUGAGUGAAGAAGUAUUUCGGUAUGUAAAGCUCUAUCAGCAGGGAAGAUAAUGACGGUACCUGACUAAGAAGCCCCGGCUAACUACGUGCCAGCCGCCGCGGUAA